rnacentral:rRNA from 1 species
AGUGAACGCUGGCGGUAGGCCUAACACAUGCAAGUCGAACGGCAGCACAGUAAGAGCUUGCUCUUACGGGUGGCGAGUGGCGGACGGGUGAGGAAUACAUCGGAAUCUACUUUUUCGUGGGGGAUAACGUAGGGAAACUUACGCUAAUACCGCAUACGACCUACGGGUGAAAGCAGGGGAUCUUCGGACCUUGCGCGAUUGAAUGAGCCGAUGUCGGAUUAGCUAGUUGGCGGGGUAAAGGCCCACCAAGGCGACGAUCCGUAGCUGGUCUGAGAGGAUGAUCAGCCACACUGAACUGAGACACGGUCCAGACUCCUACGGGAGGCAGCAGUGUGGAAUAUUGGACAAUGGGCGCAAGCCUGAUCCAGCCAGACCGCGUGGGGGAAGAAGGCCUUCGGGUUGUAAAGCUCUUUUGUUGGGAAAGAAAAGCAGCAGGUUAAGACCCCGCUGUUCUGACGGUACCCAAAGAAUAAGCACCGGCUAACUUCGUG